rnacentral:antisense_RNA from 1 species
GCGAGCCUCUACUUUGUGCUAGACCUGUGAACUCAUAGCCCUGAGCAUAAUUAUAUGCUGAGUCCUAUGAAUCUUCCUAGGAAAUCACAUAUAUAUGAAUGAAACAUUUUAUAUCGAUUUUUAAAUGCUCACUAUAUGCCUUUGAAGCAGUCAAGCAGUUUCUUGUGGUUUAAUGAUGAGAUGCAUGUGCUGAGGAGGUAAUCAGAAGAAGUAAGAAAAGGAGAUGGUGUGAAAUUUUGAAGAUUUUGUAUGCCAUGAUGCAGAAAUAAAAGUUCAGCAGGGUCAAGUAAGUUGUUCAAUGUUCAGUAUGAUAGAGUGGGAUUCACAUGCAAGACUAACUACCACUACCACUGAACCAUUUACUUCUGACUUUGCUGUUCUGCUUCCACUCACUGAACAUCUCUCUGUGCCAGGCUCAGCACCUGGUAUGAAGGCUGAAACAAGAGCGGUUGCACAGCAAAUGUUUUGCUAUGAUGAGAGAACAAAUACAUGAAUUAAAUGCGAAUUAAACUG